GUGCCCUUAAGAUCACAUUCGUUAACAUCUCUGCAAUUACUCUUAAUAUUUAAUUGUGUUACAUAUAUGCCGUGUUAUGCUUAAAGAGAUUCUAUAGUGUUAGGAAUACAAAACUGUAUUCCUAACACUAUAGGGCCCUCCGACCAUGAUCGCCAGGCAAGGUAAGUACUGGGUAAGACGUACUGGGUAAGUCCGCGGUCCUUAACGACCGUUUUUGUCGGACGUACCUAGUAUAUCCAUGGGUGUAAAGGGGAUAUACAUCGAUAUAUAUAUAUAUAUAUAUAUAUAUAUAUAUAUAUAUAUAUAUAUAUAUAUCUACAUAAGAAAACUUUGUCCUGAAGAAGGUCCCUGUGCGGACCGAAACGUCGAUUUGCUGAUUUGUUGAAAUAAAGAGCUUUUUUAUUGGAAGACCGUGAGUGCAGCCCAUGCUUUUCUUACGUGAAUAUCAACAUCCCCGUAGGACUGGCACCCGGCAAGUAAAAGUUAUUUUUCUAUUAAGAAUAUUCAGCUUGAGUGCAAGGAUUUUGAUUAUUUUUAUAUU